rnacentral:lncRNA from 1 species
UUUUGCUUUUAAUAUUAUUUUUAAUAUUUUUAAAGAAAAAAGCAAAAUCAAAUCUGUCACAUAUUAGCACAUAUACAAAGGGUUUGCAUGUAUUAAAUUAUUCAGUAUAAUUAGAACAACUUAAAAAUACUUUAUUUACUAGCUACAAACUUUAUAUUCAUCUAUUUCUUAUAUACACAGAAUUUUUGCCAAGCUAUUUUACAACAUGCAAUCACUGACCUGUACAGAGCUAUUGUACUUUAUUCAUUUUUUAAUUUUUUAAAUGUUUUUUUGUACUUUAUUCUUUAUUCUUGCUUAGUCCUGAGGGAAAUUAUUACAACAUUAUUCUAAAUGGCAGGUGUUAUGCUUCAUUUCCUUAACUUUUGGAAUGCUAUUAGCAACAAAUGAGAUCUCAAUUUGUUACUAUUAAAAGUGUGAGAAAUUGUAACUCUCUGAUGACUUUGCAUUUGUUGGACUAAUUUACCAGACAAUAAUCAGAAGUUUUCUGAUGAAAUUCUGCAUUAACAAAAUUCAAGCUCAAAUCUCAGCUGGCUAGCAUUGAUUUUUCACAUUUAGUUUGUGCUUCUGAGGUUUGAUACUAAGCUUCUUGGCAUUGUUCUGUGUGCUUUGUAAGUAUGGAGGUCACUUUGAAGUUGAUCAGAUCUUGGCAGGAUCUGGAAAAGAAUACAAAUUUGACUGUAGGUCAGAAUGUCACCAUCAUGAAGUUGGGAGAUGGAAUAAUGCAGCAGUAUACUGAACUUGCUAAAAAAAUAAAGAUGUUAGAUAAGAUUCUACAAUAAUCAUGUUUGCGUGAAUUUUUUCCUAUGCAAGUAAUUUCAAAAACACUUUUCCAGAUUCAAAAUAAUGAAAAUACAACAUUCAUUAUUUAUUUACUUUUGUCUUUUAAAAAAAUAUUUAAAAUGAUACAAGUAUUUCUGAUUCUCUCUUUUAUCUCAAAAUAUUUUGUAUUUUUCUGUUGCUGAUCUAAAUCCAAAAUAUCCUACAGUGUUUUAACCAACUGCCUCAUAUUUCUAGCCUGCUUUUACCUUCAAAUAAUGAAAAACAUUUGCAGUGAACUUUAGCAUCAGAGAGUAGGGUGAGUUUUGGAGGUAAAUUAUCCCAAACACUAACAAAUAUGAAAAUAUCAGCAUAGCUUUAUUUAAAGUGACCUCUAUUAAAAAUGAUUUCAUGUGUAUUAUUCUCAGUGUCAAAAUUCAGACAAAAGGGCUAAAGUAUUCUCUCUUUCACAUUGUUCUUGUUUUAUUAUUAUUUUUUAAACUUUUGACCUUAAAAAUUCUGCUUAGUAAGUUUUCAUUUAGGAGUCGUAAGUACUGAGUUAAUGAUGCCAGUUUUCCCAGUACCAUCUGGACCUACAGAAUUUCUGUCCCAGUUGAAGGAUGAUAUUUGGUAAGCACAGCAACAAGAAAUCUACUGAAAAACCAAAAGACAAAAAACAAAAGAAAUCAAACAAAGCAGCAGAUUGAAGCAGUAUUUUUCCUUAGAUGUCCUAGCAAAUUAUGCUAAAUUUUCCUACUGUGCAAAGACCAGGAGUUAGGUUUUUCAAACUGUAUUUGGUGGUGGCUGACUAUGGUGAAUCUGAGGGCUGUACUUCACAUUCACAUUUUGCAGCUGAGUAUGGUCCAGUGUAUCGAGAAAUUUAUUUUUUUUAAAGAUUUUAUUUAUUUAUUCAUGAGAGACACACAGAAAGAGGCGAACAGAGGCAGAGGUUAGAAACAGGCUCCAUGCAGGGAGCCCGAUGUGGGACUUGGUCCUGGGACUGCGGGAUCCUGCCAUGAGUUGAAGGCAGAUGCUCAACCACUGAGCCACCCAGGCAUCUCUCAGGAAGGUUAAUUAAUGCUAGUCUCACAAUCAUUUGUAAAUUUAAGAAGACAAUGUUUGCUUUAAAAUGUUAGACUUUUUCUUGACACUUUCACAUUGUAUGAUAAACAUUUACAUGUUUUGGAAUAGAACAUUUAAAAAUUAAAUUCAACAAUUAAAUACUAAAUAAUGAUAACUUUGCUUAUCCAAAGCAUGCACACAAGCUUCAUAGAUUUUGUUAAUCUUUUUGUGGCACCUCUGUAGUAACCACUUACUAUUUUGGCAUUCCAUUUUGAAUUUAAUUCUUUGAAGCUGUUGGGAUCUCUGGGUGGCUCAGCAGUUUAGAGCCUGCCUUCAGCCCAGGGUGUGAUCCUGGAGACCCGGGAUCGAGUCCCAUGUCAGGCUCCCUGCAUGGAGCCUGCUUCUCCCUCUGCCUGUGUCUCUGCCUCUCUCUCUCUCUCUCUCUCUCUCUCUGAAUCUCUCAUGAAUAAAUAAACUCUUAAAAAAUAAUUCUUUGAAGCUGUUACAUAUGUUAGAAAGAUUGUAUUUGCACACUCCUAUGUGUAUACACAUAUACACAUGUGUCCAUUUAUUGGUACAAUCAGAAGAAGAUGGAGUUCUUCAGACCUUUAACACUUUGUAACAAUCAGAUA